UACGUAGGUGGCAAGCGUUGUCCGGAUUUACUGGGCGUAAAGAGCGCGCAGGCGGUCGUUUAAGUCGAAUGUGAAAGCCCCCGGCUCAACUGGGGAGGGUCAUUCGAUACUGAUCGACUUGAAGGCAGGAGAGGGUAGUGGAAUUCUCGGUGUAGCGGUGAAAUGCGUAGAUAUCGAGAGGAACACCUGCGGCGAAGGCGGGUUGCUGGGCCGACACUGACGCUGAUGCGCGAAAGCCAGGGGAGCGAACGGG
rnacentral:rRNA from 1 species